UGAACUGGGUUGAAAAGCUUUUACACAAUUGUAAGUAAUGGAACUGGCUGAACCCAGUGAACCUCGUUAAAAUGCCAUGGGUUGAGUGUUUAUGUUUCAUGUUCAUGAUGUCUGAAUGUUUAAAUUCACACACAAAAAUGUAAGUACUGAGCUGCAGUAACUUGCAUGCCUGGGCCACUGUUUCAGGACGCAGUGCGUGAUGGUGACAGCAGUGUUGACAGGACAUGCUGGCUCUGAAGUCCAUGGACCCUGCUCCCCUCAAUGUGGUUUGGCUUUUCUCCUGUCCAGUUCGUCUUCGAGGAAGUCUUCACCCCCGGCACACACACCUUACGCUGCAGCCUGACUGAAGGCCUGGAGUGUCAGCCGGCGUUUGACUUCUGUUUGGAGUUUGAAUCAUAGAUGUUAACGUUUUGCCCCGAAAGGCAAAAGGACAUGCUUAACCUCUGUGAUGGCAAGUUCUUCCAGUUUACCAUCCCUAAGGACUACGCUUAGGCUACCGCGUACUGGCAGAUCUUCUGGGACAUAAUCUGUUGUUCCCUGGCUCUGACUAACUCAUCCUUCCACUUCGCUAGACAUGGACAAGCGUCCUCCAGAUCCUCCCUUCAAAAAAUGGACUUGCUGCCCAGCUGUUGGGAGCCAGAAGACAGCUGCCAGCUCCUUCAAGGUCAGAAUUGCCUCAUCCCAUUUCAUGGGCUUUCUGGGAUGGCCGUGCCCAGUGACUGAACAAGGCGGGGCAACAGGCCAGUCUCUGCUGCCCACCUGGGGACACGAGCAGUGAAGACCCACUCCGGACCCUGGGCCAGGUUGGUGGGGCUUUGACGGAUCUGCACUGCAGCUUAACUUCUUCCUGUGCACAACCUGCUUCCUUCCCCUUUUCUGCAUAGGUGUCCAACUUAAUAAACAUCACGUGCCCCUAACUGUCACAGUGUCUGCUUCCUGGAACCCAUCUGAAAGAAUCGCCCACCUGUAAGAAUGGCCCACCUGAAAGAAUCGCCCUUGCUCCUCUUGCAGUUUUUCUAGGAUGUCAGUUUGUACCGUGUCCACUAAGUAGGAAGCUCAUUUCCCCAAAUUCCAUCCCCCGUGUGGUUCCAAGUUUGGGUUAGCUGAGGGGCGUCUGUAAUAUUUGUGAGUUAGACACUGCGCGGUAGCUGUUUCCAUGCUCUGAAGGUUGCUGGAAGCCAGGUCUGCUGCAGCUGGCCUGCUGUCAUGAACAUGGUCACGCACAUGGGGCUCACUUUGUUGACAGCUGCCCAGGGCUUCUCCACUCCUUCUGAUUCCCCUUCUUCAGCUUUUCUGGGGUCUGGGGUAGAGACGCGCAGCUCUAGGAUAGGAGUGCCUGCUCUUUGGGAAGGCCACGUCAUGGACUGGCGGCCAAGGGAACAGAUGUGCGUUUCAUGUUGUCCUGUGGGCUCCAUCUUGUCCUCCCUCCUCAGUUCCAUCCUUUCUUCUCGAACACCCAUCUGCCACCUUGGACCCGACACCAGACAUUGAGGUAAUAGUCUUGUGGAGAUUGUA